rnacentral:rRNA from 1 species
AGCGAACGCUGGCGGCAUGCUUAACACAUGCAAGUCGCACGGCCGGGGUAACCCGGCAGUGGCGGACGGGUGAGUAACGCGUAGGUAUCUGUCUCCGGGUGGGGGAUAACCAUGGGAAACUAUGGCUAAUACCGCAUGAAACCCGAGGGUCAAAGGCGCGAGUCGCCUGGAGAGGAGCCUGCGUACGAUUAGCUUGUUGGUGAGGUAAAGGCUCACCAAGGCGACGAUCGUUAGCUGGUCUGAGAGGAUGAUCAGCCACACUGGGACUGA